rnacentral:lncRNA from 1 species
GUUAAAGUACAGAAAAAAUAAUUCUAAAAUGUAAAAUCAAUCAAUCUAAAACUAAAAUCAACCACAAAUUAUCAACACUGAGGCUGGGGAAGGAAAAAAGGGUAAAGGGUGGGAAAAGAUAAGGAUAAAAAGGAAUAAGGAAGGCCCUCCCAAUGUUUAAAGAGGUCUGCUUUGCCAGACUUAGGCCCAGACUAGGCCAAUGGCUUGGGCCUAAACUCUGGCUGUUAUUUGGGCAAGGAAAAUAAGUUUCCAAAGCUUCUUAUUAAAAACCAAAACCUUGUUAUAGACAGCACCAGUUCCUGGGAGCAGACAGUGUUUCUGAUAAGCUCAGCCCAGAUGCAGCUCAUCAAGGCCAAGGCCUAAUGAGCAUUUUUAAAUCAUACUGCAGCCCGAGGAGUUCUGUGGGUGCCCUUCACUAGUAAGAAAACAGUGAUUUUCCCCAGUAAAAAUCUCUUGCACAAGUCAGUAUGUCCUCUCCUUGUCCUUGACAACGGUAGGGCCAGAGCUGGGUUUUCUUUCAGGACCUGCUCAGAAAUCUAUAGUGCCUGUUUCUUGUCCCAUGCCAGGGCAAUGCCAUCUCUCUGUUUCACAGGGAGAAUGGAAGUUCUUUAUCCAUGUCAGAACUGCCCUGUGUAAACACGCAAAAGACAACUUUGAGUAAAUUGUGCAAUACAUGUUUCUAGAACCUAUAGAGAAAUAUAGACUGUUAGUCCAAAGCUUCCAGAUCAAAAUGUUGUUUUCAGUGAAAAUGGAUUUUCAAUCUAACUGUCCAGUUGCAGGUACCCCCCAUGUAAAAUUCCAUCAGUGGUCCACAGGUCAUCUUCUUUUAUGUGAGGAAUUGCCUUAUUUGGGAAAGAUCAUCCUCUUCAACGAGAGUGCUGCGCCUCAGCUUUUCACACAGUGCCUCUGGACAUUGAAUCAGAAGACAAUGAUAUGUUCUCCCACCCUGGAGAAGCUCUGCCACCCCAUCCUCAGGAGCUUCCCCUCUGGGCUGUACUUUAAGCCACUCUGGGAAGAUGAGAAAAUUAAGAUCUUUUAUCAGCAAUGCCCACAGUCCCAUGACAUUAUUUGUGAGCGAUGACCUGAAUUUAUACUGUGCUUUUCACCUGCAGACCACUGGUCUACAAAAUGGGGGGGGGGAGUUUGUUUAGCAGAAACCGGAAUAAAGACUCCUCCCAGCAACUCCA